UACAGAGGGGGCAAGCGUUAUUCGGAAUUAUUGGGCGUAAAGAGCUCGUAGGCGGUCUGUCGCGUCCGUUGUGAAAACUCGAGGCUCAACCUCGGGCUUGCAGUGGAUACGGGCAGACUAGAGUGCGGUAGGGGAGACUGGAAUUCCUGGUGUAGCGGUGAAAUGCGCAGAUAUCAGGAAGAACACCCGUGGCGAAGGCGGUUCUCUGGGACGGUACUGACGCUGAGACGCGAAAGCGUGGGGAGCGAACAGG
rnacentral:rRNA from 1 species